rnacentral:rRNA from 2 species
GACGAACGCUGGCGGCGUGCUUAACACAUGCAAGUUGAACGGGUCAUAUAUGAAGGGUAACCGGAGUGUAUGGCUAGUGGCGAACGGGUGAGUAAUGCAUGAGAACGUAUCCUCAAGAGGGGGACAACAUUGGGAAACCGAUGCUAAUACCCCAUAAGCCGGGAGGUAAAAGGAGGAAUCCGCUUGAGGAGCGGCUCAUGUCCUAUCAGCUGGUUGGCGAGGUAACGGCUCACCAAGGCGAAGACGGGUAGCCGGCCUGAGAGGGUGAACGGCCACACUGGAACUGAGAGACGGUCCAGACUCCUACGGGAGGCAGCAGUGGGGAAUAUUGGGCAAUGGGGGAAACCCUGACCCAGCGACGCCGCGUGAGGGAAGAAGGCCUUAGGGUCGUAAACCUCUGUUGUGUGGGAAGAAGAGCGUGACGGUACCACACGAGGAAGUCCCGGCUAACUACGUG